AACGAACGCUGGCGGCAUGCCUAACACAUGCAAGUCGAACGAGACCUUCGGGUCUAGUGGCGCACGGGUGCGUAACGCGUGGGAACCUGCCCUUAGGUUCGGAAUAACUCCCCGAAAGGGGUGCUAAUACCGGAUAAUGUCUUCGGACCAAAGAUUUAUCGCCUUUGGAUGGGCCCGCGUUGGAUUAGCUAGUUGGUAGGGUAAAAGCCUACCAAGGCGACGAUCCAUAGCUGGUCUGAGAGGAUGAUCAGCCACACUGGGACUGAGACACGGCCCAGACUCCUACGGGAGGCAGCAGUUGGGAAUAUUGGACAAUGGGCGAAAGCCUGAUCCAGCAAUGCCGCGUGAGUGAUGAAGGCCUUAGGGUUGUAAAGCGCUUUUACCCGGGAUGAUAAUGACAGUACCGGGAGAAUAAGCUCCGGCUAACUCCGUG
rnacentral:rRNA from 1 species